CCAGGGCAUGCAGUGCCAAGUCAGCAUUAGUCUUCUCGCAGUUGUAUCCCAUCAAUCCGAUCCUCAUCACCUAAUGAAAAGAGAGGUGGACAGUACAGUACAUCAGAGCCUGCAGUGACUCAGCAGCAUGAGUCAGAAAGCGGGUUGAAGGACCGGCAGCAACUCACCAUGCCGAUGGAAGGGCCCAAGCCUCCAGUCAUCUCCAUCUGGUGGUGUUUCAUGAUGUAGGCCAGCAACUCCCUCCAAUCGUAGCCGUCAGGGAUGGCAAUGGUGGUGACGGAGGGAAGCCUCAAGUCCUGCAUGACAUGUCACAAAAUGACUGUGGUCACCAUCAGGGCAACACCAAUGAGGUUCUUUUGUUUUAUGUCUGCCUCACCUGUUCAGGGAUGAAGAGCUUGAGACCCAAGUCCUCCAGUCCUCUGUACAGGUAGGCUGCCACAUCCUUGUGUUUCUUCCAGGACUCCUCCAGCCCCUAGAGGGAG